GUGCUGGAAUUACGGGCGUGAGCCACCGCGCCCGGCCCUUUCCUCUACUUUAAAAACUUGUUUUAAACAUCAUGUCCCUUCCCACCCCUCGUCACCAUUUCACCACGAGUUGCAGAAAACAGCCUGAGGAUGAAGACGCGCCUUCCCUCUUCCCUUGCCUCCCGGCCGCCCCCGCUGUCCGGGCCCUGCCUGGGGACACUGUUCCCGGUGCUCAGGGCACUGGCUUCUCUGUGAGUGUUGGCGGCGGCUGUCUCUUCUCGGCCUGCAGAAGGGUCGAGUGACUGGAUGGGCUUAUUUCCCACUCCCAUAAAUUGUUCUUGGUGCCCGGCACUCACACUGGCGGACGCCGGACAGGUGCCAGAGCAGCAGGGCGGAUGUGCUUCCGCACGGCACACCUGCGCUGCAGCCUCGACUGUUCCCACCACCAAUAACGGAGUAGGGUAACAGUAUUCCCUGGCAUUCCGAAAAGAGCACCUGACCGCCAGGCCGCCCACGGCCAGCAUGUGGGAGUUGCCCGCCAGGACAGAGGCUCUGAGCGGCGGGCGGGACCCCCACGGUUCCCAGGCAACGGGGGAGGCGCCGGCCAGGAGAUACCUGGCGAGCUGUUCUGUGUCCUCAUUUGGACAGGACACCACACCUGGGAGCCGGAGCUGACCGGGGACACCCGGCAGCGUGUGGCCACCACGGGGUGUCCCGGCAGAGCCACUCACAGACAGGGCAUCGCUCAGGGCCACCUCCCUCGGCACAGGCAGGAGGAGAAAGGUGCACCUCACUGCAGCUUGCUUUUUCCUUCUAAAGAAAAAACGAGCACGGUGACCCUCACAGGUGCCCAGCCGUGAGCGAGGUCACCCCGCCAGCCGCAGAGGCGUCGCCCCGGGUACAGCACGGCACAGACGCCCGCCGGGCUCCCCAGACUCGGAAGACCGGCUCCCUCUCCAUUUCCCCAUCACCAAAACACCUCGCCACACGUCAGACACCCUCAGGUCCAAAUCAAAUGCCACAUUCAAACAGGGAACAGUCAUUUUCAUUUCUGCAAUUAAUUCCAGCUGAAAUACCGAAAGCAAAAAUGAAACAAGAAGCUGCAUCGCAGACCGCUGCCGUCAGCCUCGUCCUGCUCUUCCCUCCACGCCCGAGUCGUGGCCCACGGCCAGCGCCAUGGAUCCCGAGCCCACACCCAGCAGCACGGGUCCCGAGCCCACACCCAGCAGCACGGGUCCCGAGCCCACACCCAGCGCCACGGAUACCGUGUCCAGGUUCACAGCAGGCUCACCUGUCAUUUCCUCGCUGACGUGACCUCGACCCUCUCCGUGACCUCAGACCUCGGCACCCACCUGUGCGGAUGCAAGGGCCAUCCGGCCUCCACGCACAACCUCCCGCCAGAGCCCGGGCCCGAGGCUGUACGUGAGCUGGCUCUCCUAGGCGCUCCCACUCACAUCUAAAAUUAAAUACGGCUUUUCUAAAACUGGGCUACUUUUUCUUUCAAGCCCUCAGCCACCCCGACUGCUCGCCGUUGCUGUUGUCCUACUCCACGGCCCUCGCCCGAAUCUCAGCACGCAGCACCCUGCCUGGAGGCUUCGUCCUUUAGUAAUUCACUCGGCACCUGCCGUCCGCAGCAGGGUCACCGCCUGACCUCUGCGUCUGCUGUGUCCAACAUAGCGAGGUUCAGGGGGGUCUUACGGGACUGAUGCUGCUCUGAGCCACGGCAACCCUGGACCAUGGACGGUCAAGAACAUUCCGAACCUCCUGGGGGCCGGGCGAGCCCAGAGCCUCGCACACGGGGCCUCCCGGGGCAGGAGGAGGGGAGGGGUGGGGUGGCAGGUGGAGGACAUAGGACGGUCUCUGGCGGGCACGGUGCCCUGCUGCAUAGCAAGGAAGGGAUGUGAAGGGUGCAGUGGGCUCAGCAGGGGCUGAGAGAGCAGAGACAGGCAGGACCCUCGCUCGCUCUGCCGUGGGGAUCCCAUCUGAACGCCUGUCUUGCCCACGGAGCUGCUCCCAGCUCAGGGGGUCAGAGAACCGCAGGGGAGCUCCACUCGUGGGGUGGGCACCGAGCCCCUCCCCAUCCGCCAGCCCGAGGCCCGGCCUGGCGCACCGGCACGGCGAGGCUUGUACCUGCCCCUUCCCAGGUGGCCCACCCCCGCCUGCCCCUGGGUGGACAGAACCCAGGGAGGAGGGCCGUCAGUCGGGCUGCGUCCUGCUGUGGCAGCACCCCAGCUCGGAGCAGAGGCUGGUUUCCCGCCGUUGGCGGAGUUCCCACGGGAACCAGGUCCCGCCAAGGCCCAGCCUGGAGGCUCCACCUCGGCGUCACGCAGGAGGACGGGAGGUGGCAGAGGCCACGCCAUGCCUGGCGUCCUGCUCACUUGCCAGCAGAGCAAGCCACGCGGCUGCCCACGUGGGACCGGCGGGAGUGGCCCGCUGAGCUCCGUUGCUUGGGGACAGGCGUCUCACGAGUGCCAGCGAUGGCCGCAGCCCGGACGGUCACACAGGUCGGCCCUCGACUCUCGGGUCGACUCGGGAAGAGACGGAGCAGCCAGGCGGGCGGGCAGGGUCAGCCCCACGGCCCAGUGGGCCAGAGAGCGAGAGGCGCCUUCUCACUUCCUGCCCCUCAGCACCGGGGCCAACACCCCCAUGGGGUCCAGGGUCCCGGCGCCCCCGAACUCCGGGCCGAGGACUCUGCAGUCACUGGAGAAGACGAGCGCGGCGCCCGCAAACGCCCCGGCACUCGCGAGUCGCUGCUGGAAACCGAGCAGCAGGAGCGUGGGGGGGAGUCAGGCCAUCCACCCCCCUGCAGCCGUCUCCAUGAGAACCCUGAGGGUCCAGGCCCAGCCCUGGACAGGGACACGAGAAAGACCCAGGACCCGCAGUGCCACCUGGCCCAGACCCGUGGGCAGAGCCGGUGCGAGGCCGGCACAGGCAGGUGUCUGGGUGUGGCGCCUGCAGGGCAGGGGGAGGGCCGGUGGGCUGUGGGCUCCGGCUGAGGAAGGCCUGCGAGUUCCUGGUGGGGCUUAAGCAGAGGCUGAAGGGACGAGGGGAGUGGGGUGGGGCUGCUGAGCCCUGAGGAGAGAGUCCCGUGAGCAGGAACGGCAGGUGCAAAGGCCCUGCGGUGGCGGAGGCCCAGGCGGGGCGGCCAUGCUUGGGUGCCCACACAGAUGGCCCGGUCCCCGCCUCAGGACGACGGGCAGAGGGCACAUGCUGAGUUAACCCCGCUCCCAGGCCGGCCUCUGGGUCCUGCCCACACGCUUGCCGGGGCUGUCCUCACGCCUCCUGCUAACCGGCAGAGCUCUGCACACGCAGACCUCCUUUCCCCACAGGUUGUGGGAGGCCCUGAGCCCUGUCCCUGUGGUCCCCACGAUGACACCCUGCACCCCGCGGCUCCGACGUGAAAUUCCACAGCAAUCCAAACUGCAGGCCGGAGGCCCGUCCUCCCACCCGGUCCCCCUGUGGGCUCAGCGCCAGGGGCCUGUCCCUCGCAGGUGUCGUGGGAACAGAUGAGGGACAGAGGCAGAAACCCCAAAGCACAGGUGUCUGGGCCGGACUCUCCUCGCCCUGGGAUGGCCCGGCUCCCGGAGCAGAAACCAGCGUCAGGUCCACCUGAAGCUGCAGGGACGUGGCCGCACCUGACCUGACCAGGCCGCUCACCUGGACGCACUGAGCUGCCACGGGCAGGACUUCAGAGGCCGCAGCCCCCCCAAAGCAGGGGGAGAUGCUCAGAGGGGAACGUGGCCACCUGGUGGCCCCGGCUGGUCCCUCCCCCACUUCCCAGCAGUGGUGCCUCCUGGCCUGAGGCAGCGCCAUGCCCACUCCCCUCAGGCCCUGCAGCCCAAGGAAAUUCCUUAUCUCCAGGACCCUCUGCCUUGGAGUGGAAGAAUCCUGAAAUUCAAGAUUGGUGGCAUUCCCAGCUGCUUCUACUUGCCGGUAUUGGGCAAACACCUGCAGGAAGGCGGCAGGGUUUGCACUAAGAGCAACCCAAGUCACCUGUCCUGGGCGCAAGUCCUGGGCUCCCAGCUUUGGGGACCCCCAAGCACAUCCCAGGCCAUCGGGCCCCUCCAGCUGCAGGCAGCCCCUUGGCCUGUCCCACACCUCACCCAUGCAGAUACAGGGGGCACCCCCAGAACACCCUGACCCAACCCACCUGCAACUGAAGGAGCCCCUCCCUCCCGAACCCUGAGUCCACACCACCCUCUGCGGGGAGCCCCCAAGGGCUCUUGGCUCUGUCCCUAGCUGUGGGAGUCACCCCAGGACAUCCUGCCCCCCCACCCCCACCCCCGCUGCAGGGACGGGUGGGAGGGCAUGUUGGGGGCAGGACAGCCAGUUGGUGGGGGCAGGAGGCAGAAUGGCCCAACCGCCCUGGGGUGAGGGAGAGGCAGGGCUCCCGAUUUCAGGUGGGCAUGGCCACUGACUGUGGCCACUGGGUGGUCAGAGCUGCUGACCAGCAGGACAAAGACAGUCUGGUGUGGAGGGGACGGGACAGGUCCAGUUUGGGACAGCUUCUGGACAGAUGGGACCCCGAGAGGAUGUCACAGUGACAAUUCACACAGGAGCGACCAAACCCGUCCCUAUCAGGGGGAAAGACUCACUGCUACAGACAGAAAUUAGAAAGGACUGAGAAACACGCGGGAUUACUCAGAGGAGAAGACCAUGAGGUCCAGGGCUCCUGGUGAGGUCAGCAGACGUCCACCCCGGGCCAGCCCGAGCUCCCCAAGGCACCGGGACAGCACAGCACCAGGCCUCAGCACCUGCAUCUGCACCACCGUGGCAACGCCACACCUGCCUCCCUCCAGCCUCCUGGGGCUGCACCGACAGUGACCAGGGCAAGGAUGCUGGGGAGAGGACCCCGGACCUCUCCUGGACAACAAACACCAGGCUGUCAGACGGUGCCUGCUCCAGGGCCUCCCGGGUGUCCAGAGGGGCCCAGACCCUGGGAAGCCCCACCCUCCUCCACCUCCCCCAAGGGACCUGUGCUCCCUGCAGACCCUCCACCAGGGCGCAAUGGCCCCAGGCCCACUCUGAGGUUUGCUGCCCACAAUCCCGUGGGGCAACCCCGUGUCCCCCCCACAUCUGCUGCACGGUGCCGACCAAAGAGCUGCUCCUUGUUCAGCCUCAUGGGUGGAGCAUCCAGACACCCGGUGGCAGCUCAGGGAACCGGCGUCCCCGAGCGUGCACCGGGGGUGGGGCACUGGGGGCCCAGGCCAUUCUGCAGAC